rnacentral:rRNA from 1 species
GACGAACGCUGGCGGUGUGCUUAACACAUGCAAGUCGAACGGAAAGGCCCUGCUUUUGUGGGGUGCUCGAGUGGCGAACGGGUGAGUAACACGUGAGUAACCUGCCCUUGACUUUGGGAUAACUUCAGGAAACUGGGGCUAAUACCGGAUAGGAGCUCCUGCUGCAUGGUGGGAGUUGGAAAGUUUCGGCGGUUGGGGAUGGACUCGCGGCUUAUCAGCUUGUUGGUGGGGUAGUGGCUUACCAAGGCUUUGACGGGUAGCCGGCCUGAGAGGGUGACCGGCCACAUUGGGACUGAGAUACGGCCCAGACUCCUACGGGAGGCAGCAGUGGGGAAUAUUGCACAAUGGGCGGAAGCCUGAUGCAGCAACGCCGCGUGCGGGAUGACGGCCUUCGGGUUGUAAACCGCUUUCGCCUGUGACGAAGCGUGAGUGACGGUAAUGGGUAAAGAAGCACCGGCUAACUACGUG